AUGGCACUCAUUCAUACAUACUAAAAUUGAGACAAUACAGAGAUCAGCAUGGGCCUGGCACAAGGAUGACACACAAAUCUGUGAAGCAUUCCAUAGUAAA
rnacentral:snRNA from 1 species